rnacentral:tRNA from 1 species
GAGGUAGUACAUCAGAUUGUGGC